UAUCUGACAAUGCUGGGCAGAAGAGGACCGC
rnacentral:piRNA from 1 species